rnacentral:rRNA from 1 species
ACUUUCAACAACGGAUCUCUUGGUUCUCGCAUCGAUGAAGAACGCAGCGAAAUGCGAUAAGUAGUGUGAAUUGCAGAAUUCAGUGAAUCAUCGAAUCUUUGAACGCACAUUGCGCCUCCUGGUAUUCCGGGAGGCAUGCCUGUCCGCGCA